AGAUCUUUCAAGUUCAAAAUUACAACUUUUCCAUCAGAGCACUCAACUCCAAACCAAGGACAUGGAUCAACAACUCCAUAUUCAUCCUUCCAGUUCUUCAACGCGCCGUACGGAUCACUCACUAUUCUCUCUCUAAAUUUCAACAACGCCAAACCUUCGUCGUUGAGCGACCAACACAAAAUAAAGCUCCGGUAGAGCAAAAACAGCAGAAGAACACCAAACCUGCUGAAUUUCCAGUUCCUCUUGUCCAUGAAAGCUAAAGAAAACUUAACCGACAAGAGGAUUAGUAUAAGCUGAGCCCGAAACUUAUGCAGAGAGAAAUCAAAAGCUUCAGAUAGGCAUUGAACUGAAGAAGCCGAAAAUGGAAAUAUCUGAGACUAAAAUAAUCA
rnacentral:misc_RNA from 1 species